CUCUCCUCCUCCUCCUAAAGUUGUUCCUCUACCCUCCACUCUCUCCCCUAACCUCCUAAAGGUGUUCCUCUCCCUCCACUCUCUCCUCCUAACCUCCUAAAGAUGUUCCUCUACCCUCCACUCUCUCCUCCUAACCUCCUAAAGAUGUUCCUCUACCCUCCACUCUCUCCUCCUAACCUCCUAAAGAUGUUCCUCUACCCUCCACUCUCUCCUCCUAACCUCCUAAAGUCGUUCCUCUACCGUCCACUCUCUCCUCCUAACCUCCUAAAGUUGUUCCUCUCCCCUCCACUCUCUCUCCUCCUAAAGAUGUCCCUCUACCCUCCACUCUCUCUCCUCCUAAAGAUGUCCCUCUACCCUCCACUCUCUCCUCCUAACCUCCUAAAGUUGUUCCUCUCCCCUCCACUCUCUCUCCUCCUAAAGUUGUUCCUCUCCCUCCACUCUCUCUCCUCCUAAAGAUGUUCCUCUCCCCUCCACUCUCUCUCCUCCUAAAGUUGUUCCUCUACCCUCCACUCUCUCUCCUCCUAAAGUUGUUCCUCUCCCCUCCACUCUCUCCUCCUAACCUCCUAAAGUUGUUCCUCUCCCCUCCACUCUCUCCUCCUAACCUCCUAAAGUUGUUCCUCUCCCCUCCACUCUCUCUCCUCCUAACCUCCUAAAGUCGUUCCUCUCCCCUCCACUCUCUCCUCCUAAAGAUGUCCCUCUACCCUCCACUCUCUCUCCUCCUAAAGUUGUUCCUCUCCCCUCCACUCUCUCUCCUCCUAAAGUUAUUCCUCUCCCCUCCACUCUCUCCUCUCCUCCUAAAGUUGUUCCUCUACCGUCCACUCUCUCCUCCUAACCUCCUAAAGUUGUUCCUCUCCCCUCCACUCUCUCUCCUCCACUAACCUCCUAAAGUUGUUCCUCUCCGUCCACUCUCUCCUCCUAACCUCCUAAAGUUGUUCCUCUCCCCUCCACUCUCUCUCCUCCUCCUAAAGUUGUUCCUCUCCCCUCCACUCUCUCUCCUCCUCCUCCUAAAGUUGUUCCUCUCUCUCCUCCUAAAGUUGUUCCUCUACCGUCCACUCUCUCCUCCUAACCUCCUAAAGUUGGUCCUCUCCCCUCCACUCUCUCCUCCUAAAGUUGUUCCUCUCCCCUCCACUCUCUCUCCUCCUAAAGUUGUUCCUCUACCCUCCACUCUCUCUCCUCCUAAAGUUGUUCCUCUCUCUCCUCCUAAAGUACAUAGUGCUUCUUUGAUGGCUUUAGGUCACUUGUGAAGAUCUGUUUCUGUCUCACUUGUUUCCGUUUCUUUUUUUUUUAUGUACAGUAGAUAUGUAUUAUAUAAACUGUAUUUACAUCAUUACUCUGAUACGACGACUACUAUUGCUUUACAUGAGCCGGACACUGCGUCACUACAUGUGGUUCCUUCAAUAAGUCAGUGUUAUGUCCAUGUCAGACACUGGUGCUCUGUUGUUGUUGUUGUUGUUGUUGUUGUAAUGCUAAAGGCGAAAAACUAACCAUUACAAGUCCCUUCUCACAAAACAUUGUCAACUUCCUCCCAGACUAUCCCAUUUUAAAAUAAAAUAGCCAUUUGGAUAAUGUGCAACUGUACUGGGAACAUGACCAGUGGUACAUGUCUAUUUCAGCCAGUCCCAGCCCCCUGGAGAUGGGAUGAGCUGGGAGGGGCUGGGAGGAGAUGGAAGGGGCUGGGAGGAGAUGGAAGGGGCUGGGAGGAGUUGGAAGGGGCUGGGUGGAGAUGGAAGGGGCUGGGAGGAGAUGGAAGGGGCUGGGAG
ensembl:lncRNA